GCAUAUCAAUAAGCGGAGGAAAAGAAACCAACAGGGAUUGCCCCAGUAACGGCGUAAGUGAAGCGGCAACAGCUCAAAUUUGAAAUCUGGCCCCCAGGCCCGAGUUGUAAUUUGCAGAGGAUGCUUCUGGCGCGGCGCCUUCCGAGUUCCCUGGAACGGGACGCCAUAGAGGGUGAGAGCCCCGUCCGGUUGGACGCCAAGCCUGUGUGAAGCUCCCUCGACGAGUCGAGUAGUUUGGGAAUGCUGCUCUAAACGGGAGGUAUAUGUCUUCUAAAGCUAAAUACCGGCCAGAGACCGAUAGCGCACAAGUAGAGUGAUCGAAAGAUGAAAAGCACUUUGAAAAGAGGGUUAAACAGUACGUGAAAUUGUUGAAAGGGAAGCGCUCGCGACCAGACUUGGGCCUGGCGGAUCACCCGGCGUUCUUCGCCGGGGCACUCCGCCUUCCCAGGCCAGCAUCGGCUCGCGCCGGGGGAUAAAGGCGGCGGGAACGUGACUCCUCUCGGGGAGUGUUAUAGCCCGCCGUGUAAUACCCUGGUGCGGGCCGAGGACCGCGCAUCUGCAAGGAUGCUGGCGUAAUGGUCGUCAGCGACCCGUCUUGAAACACGGACCAAGGAGUCGUCUUCGUAUGCGAGUGUUCGGGUGCCAAACCCCUACGCGUAAUGAAAGUGAACGCAGGUGAGAGCUUCGGCGCAUCAUCGACCGAUCCUGAUGUUCUCGGAUGGAUUUGAGUAAGAGCAUACGGGGCCGGACCCGAAAGAAGGUGAACUAUGCCUGUAUAGGGUGAAGCCAGAGGAAACUCUGGUGGAGGCUCGCAGCGGUUUCUGACGUGCAAAUCGAUCGUCAAAUAUGGGCAUGGGGGGCGAAAGACUAAUCGAACCUUCUAGUAGCUGGUUUCCGCCG
rnacentral:rRNA from 1 species